UCUUCUCGAAUUACUGGAAAUAUUGCAGCUAGUUUCGAGGUCUUAUCCCGAUUCAUUACUGCAAAUAAUUUUAAGCACUGUUUCUGUUUGCAUGUAUCUCUACUAAAUUCUUUUUUUCCGGAUCUUUUUUUCUUAUUCUACAGGUCGGCAGACGUCUACAGUUUUAGGUGCAGAGUGCUGGUGGAUAUUCUUACUUGAUAGGAAGCUGUCGCCAAGGCUUCCUCUUAGUGUCCAGUCAUCCGAUCUGGGACCAUAGCUGUCCUUCGAUGUCGCUCGACGCUCUUUCGUUGGUGGCCGUAGUUUAGCAUGUUAUUGGGUCACCGAGCGGAGGAUUUGCUUAUCAGGUACAGGAGUCUGCGACGGCUACUCACUCUUAGUACUUUCACUGUGGAAAGCCAUAGCUGUUUUUAUCAUGAUUUAGAAACACGUGAUAUGGUCUAUUACGAUUUCGAGGAUGCAGAAUUAAAAGGAAUUAUAAAGUCUAAAUAAGUGUACAAAGAACCCGCUGAUUGAACUGUACUCUUGACCCAGCGCAUUUCCCGGGUGUCGACGGACCAGCAAAUCUACUUUUCAGAAAAGGGCCUUUAUAUCUACUGUCGAACAACUUUCCUUUCCGCCGAACUUCCAGCAAGAACCCGCUCCAACCUCAUAGCACUGUGGACACGACGAGCUGCUGAAAUCCGCGAAAAUAAAUUGUGGCGGAGGUAUCAAAGGAAUCCCACCGGUUGGGCGCCACUGUAACU